rnacentral:rRNA from 1 species
GUAGGUGGCAAGCGUUGUCCGGAAUUAUUGGGCGUAAAGCGCGCGCAGGCGGUUCUUUAAGUCUGAUGUGAAAGCCCGCGGCUCAACCGUGGAGGGUCAUUGGAAACUGGAGAACUUGAGUACAGAAGAGGAAAGCGGAAUUCCACGUGUAGCGGUGAAAUGCGUAGAGAUGUGGAGGAACACCAGUGGCGAAGGCGGCUUUCUGGUCUGUAACUGACGCUGAGGCGCGAAAGCGUGGGGAGCAAACAGGAUUAGAUACCCUGGUAGUCCACGCCGUAAACGAUGAGUGCUAAGUGUUAGGGGGGUUUUCCGCCCCCCUUAGUGCUGCAGCUAACGCAUUAAGCACUCCGCCUGGGAGUACGGCCGCAAGGCUG